GUCAUAAAUGCGCCGCUUCUGCACAUCCAGCACCUCGGCUGCCCAGUUGAGGUCCAGGACUCCAUCCUCAGACUCGCUCAGGAGGUCUCUCCGGCAGGGGGCGCUGUCGGGACCGGAAGCCAAGUGUCGCGACUCCCGGGUUCGGGCCACCUUUCCACUCUAGCUAGGAGCAGGCAUAGCCACAGCUCCAACGACUGCUUACUGUUGAGGAUCACUGUUGCGGGCACUCUCCUCAAGCGAAUACCCGACACGGGUGUACAGAGGCACAGACUGGUCAAGUAAUUUGUUCGUUUUACUCAGGAUUUAAAUCCAGGCAAUUUGGCCCCAGCCUUCCCCCUAAACCCAUUAUCUGCUCCUGCCAAUUAUACCAGGAAUUAGGAGUUAUGGUCAGGAGGAAUGGGCAAGCCUGGAUCUGAGAACAUCUUUAAUAGACCCACACUUGCCUUUUCUUUCCAUGUGUAGCCCAAUAAUUAUCUGAGGAGAAUCAUUUAACUUCAAACAUCAAAUGGACCAGGUUCAUGGAAAAGGUCCCUUUCUCAACAAGGCUGAUGUCGCAACACCACUUCUCAGCUGCAGCGAAUUAAACCUCAGGGGGACUUUUGCAAUCAAAAUGACUUUAAGUCACACAGAAGUCGGUGGCCAAGCUAGUCAUGGGAACUAAGAAGGGGACUUGAGAAUCCCUUCACACAGAGGCCAAGAAUUUGGCACACAGGCUGCUUAGCCCAGUUUUGUGUUAGUGGCAGACAUUAAUAAUCGAUCAGUGAGCCGGGCACGGUGUCGCACGCCUGUAAUCCCAGCACUCGGAAAAGCAGAGGCUGUCGGAUAACUGUGAGUUUGAGGCCAGCCUGGUCUACAAAACAAGUCAGGACAACCAAGGCUACCCAGAGAAACCCUGUUUUGAAAAUAAUAAUAAUAAUAAAUAAUAAAUAAAUAAUAAUUGAUCACUGUGUCGAA